UCUUUAUUUUAACUUUCAUUAUGUUUUAAUAAUUUAAUCCUUCAAGUUCCUUCGAGCAAACAAAUAAACAAAAUUCUGACACUGUGUGUAUAUAAAAUUUCAGAUAUGCUCUGUUGACGAAGAAUGAUACUUCAUGUUGGCGUAAUAUAAUGGCUCGCACUGAAAUUCACGCGCUUUAGGUAAAAUUUAAAAAUAUUUUUGUUUUCUCUCA